rnacentral:rRNA from 1 species
UGCAAGUCGAGCGGACCGACGGGAGCUUGCUCCCUUAGGUCAGCGGCGGACGGGUGAGUAACACGUGGGUAACCUGCCUGUAAGACUGGGAUAACUCCGGGAAACCGGGGCUAAUACCGGAUGCUUGAUUGAACCGCAUGGUUCAAUCAUAAAAGGUGGCUUUUAGCUACCACUUACAGAUGGACCCGCGGCGCAUUAGCUAGUUGGUGAGGUAACGGCUCACCAAGGCGACGAUGCGUAGCCGACCUGAGAGGGUGAUCGGCCACACUGGGACUGAGACACGGCCCAGACUCCUACGGGAGGCAGCAGUAGGGAAUCUUCCGCAAUGGACGAAAGUCUGACGGAGCAACGCCGCGUGAGUGAUGAAGGUUUUCGGAUCGUAAAACUCUGUUGUUAGGGAAGAACAAGUACCGUUCGAAUAGGGCGGCACCUUGACGGUACCUAACCAGAAAGCCACGGCUAACUACGUGCCAGCAGCCGCGGUAAUACGUAGGUGGCAAGCGUUGUCCGGAAUUAUUGGGCGUAAAGCGCGCGCAGGCGGUUUCUUAAGUCUGAUGUGAAAGCCCCCGGCUCAACCGGGGAGGGUCAUUGGAAACUGGGGAACUUGAGUGCAGAAGAGGAGAGUGGAAUUCCACGUGUAGCGGUGAAAUGCGUAGAGAUGUGGAGGAACACCAGUGGCGAAGGCGACUCUC